AAGGAACAUCCCUCCAUGGCCUCUGCAUCAGCUCCUGCUUCCUGACCUGCUUGAGUUCCAGUCCUGACUUCCUUUAGUGAUGAACUGCAAUGUGGAAGUGCUGGAUGUGGUCGUGCACACCUUUAGUCCCAGCACUCGGGAGGCAGAGGCAUGUGGAUCUCUACUAAUCAAACAAUUCACAAGAAAAACAAACACUCAGCCUUGGCUCCGGUGACCAUGAAACGGCAAGGGAGCCUUUCAUUUCUCUACCGCACAGUUGAAACCAAAGGCUACGACUCUCAAAUCAGUGCAGCGUGGACAGAGCCGGAGUGCCUCAAAGCUGUGGAAAUGUGGUACCUUCAUCUGGAGAGAAAGGAAUGGUCCAAAAUAUACUCUUAGUCCACAGAACGGGAGAGAAAUCUUUGCCGGAUAUACUUAAGAUGGUGUAUCAAUACCUGGAUUGUAUAAAAGAUUACAAAAAAAAUUAAACACCAAAAUCUUAUUGACCAGUCAGUAAAAUGGCCAAUGAACUAAACAAUCUCAAAAAAAGUACAGAUGACAAUAAAUAAUUUUUAAAGGUGUUCAGCAUUUCUUUCUUUCUUU